UAGGGAAUCUUCGGCAAUGGGGGCGACCCUGACCGAGCAACGCCGCGUGAGUGAAGAAGGUUUUCGGAUCGUAAAGCUCUGUUGUAAGAGAAGAACGUGUGUGAGAGUGGAAAGUUCACACAGUGACGGUAACUUACCAGAAAGGGACGGCUAACUACGUGCCAG
rnacentral:rRNA from 1 species